UCUGAGCAUACAUUCAUGAGAAACAGGGAGGCAUCUUGCCAACUUGAAAGUCAAGUCAACCAUUUUUGUGGUCUGCCAUUGGCUGUCCCUCUCUCCAGUCUCCCUUUGCCAUCAGGUUACAGGUCUGAAGAUGCCUGGUUUGAUUGAUCAACUUGAACCCAGAGAUCCUGGAAUGACAUCUGAAGCCUCCAAUUGUCACUACAGGAAGUCUUGGGCUUGGUGGACCCUACAGACAAUGAUGAUAACAAGAGUUGAGAAUUCAAAAACACCAACUUAUAAUUCUCGCCUACAACUUGUGGGAAGAAAAAGGUAGGAAGACACCACGGCACAUGGGGAAGAGUUGAAGGAACUGUACAUCUCUUUCUGGAGGUUCAGAGUGCCUACCUUGCAAUUGGAAUGAGAUAUUUUGUCCAAAAUUGAUGACAUUGAAACAUCACCUAAAUUACAAUUUGUCAGGACAAUUAAAGGAUGGAUUGA